GUAGUUCCAGUCAAUCUGUUGUACAUCAAGUUUCUCCUUUAAAAAGGGAAGCUCCCAAAGUGGAAAAUCCACCAAGCAACAUAUAUAAGAGAUUUUUGCAGAUGAAUUGUGUUGAGAAUUAAGAAAGAUGGGAAUAAAGUUAUGGGUAAUGUUAGUGAUGAUGGUGCUUUCAUUACUAAAUGAAUGGUGUUGUUUAGGGUGUUGGGAGGAAGAAAGGAUUGCUCUUUUGCACCUCAAAGUAAACAUGAACUUUCCUGAUGGAAGAUCGUUGCCUUCAUGGGUGGUUAAUGAGAUUGAAGCUGACUGUUGUCAAUGGCAAGGGGUUGAAUGCAGCAACACAACUAAACGAGUAAUCCACCUUAAUCUUGAUGCUGUUAGGGAUCGGAAAUUAGGAGAUUGGUAUUUUAAUGCCUCUCUAUUUCUUCACUUUCAAAAGCUCAGACAUCUCUCUUUGCAGUGGAAUCAGUUAGUAGGUUGGAUUGAGAAUGAAGGUAUGAUGUCAUCUCUCCUUAAUUAGGCAUCUUCAACUUUAUUAUUCCUAUUUCAUUUGAGUGAUAAAUAUAGAUAUGUUGAACCUUGUUGCAGGUUUUGACAGAUUGUCGAAGUUGAGAAAUUUGGAGGCCCUUGAUCUGAGUUGCAAUUCAUUUCAUCGCA
rnacentral:lncRNA from 1 species